GACGAACGCUGGCGGCGUGCUUAACACAUGCAAGUCGAACGGAAAGGCCCUGCUUGCCGGGUCCUCGAGUGGCGAACGGGUGAGUAACACCCGUGGGAUCUGCCCUACACUUCGGGAUAAGCCCUGGUAACUGGGUCUAAUACCGGAUCGGAGCCUUUUUUACUGUGAUGGGUGGAGAGUUUUUUCGGUGUAGUAUUAGCUCGCGGCCCUUCCGCUUGUUGGUUGGGUAAUGGCAUACCAAGGCUGCGCCGCGUAGCCGGCCUGAGGGGGUGGACGGCCAAACUGGGACUGAGCUACGACCCAGACUCCUACGGGAGGCAGCAGUGGAGAAUAUUGCACAAUGGGCGGAAGCAUGAUGCAGCGCCGCCGCGUGGGGGAUGACGGCCAUCGGGUUGUAAACUCCAUUCGCUAGGGACGAAGCUUUUUGUGAAGGUCCCGAGAUAAGAAGCACCGGCAAACUACGU
rnacentral:rRNA from 1 species